rnacentral:rRNA from 1 species
UACGUAGGGUGCAAGCGUUGUCCGGAAUUAUUGGGCGUAAAGAGCUCGUAGGCGGUCCGUCACGUCGGCUGUGAAAACCCGGGGCUCAACUCCGGGCCUGCAGUCGAUACGGGCGGACUAGAGUACUGCAGGGGAGACUGGAAUUCCUGGUGUAGCGGUGAAAUGCGCAGAUAUCAGGAGGAACACCGGUGGCGAAGGCGGGUCUCUGGGCAGUAACUGACGCUGAGGCACGAAAGCCAGGGGAGCAAACGGG